rnacentral:sRNA from 1 species
GCCGUGUGUGGAGGGGGAGAAUUCCUACGGGUGGGUUUCCGAAUAUUGUGUUCAACUUUUUGAAAGCAGCUCGUGACCCCGAAACUGCAUCCCCCCCGGAGCCGGGGACCCAGGCGCCAGGCGGGCGGGUGAACCCGGCCAGUCCCUCCCAAUCCCCGCAACCCCCCGCCUCCGUGUGUGGGGGGGGGACCCAGGCCUGGAGGAAGGCUGGGCAGGUGCCGAGGGCUGUGCCGAAAGCGCUGAAAUCGAAAACCCUCGCCACUCAGGAAGAAUUGAGGCACAAGGAUUACAGAUGCAGCUCGGGAACAGCCCUGUACUCCAGCCAGUGCCUGGUCGCCCGUGGGCCCACCGGGCUCCGCGGUUCGCUGGCGGCGCCGCCUUGUGAGCGCUAAAGCCGGGAGGAGGGCUCAGGCAAGGCGCGCAGCUCUGAGCGCGCCCCUACCCGCUUCGGCCCGCAGCAGCCGGGACUUGCCUCUCCGCAAGUAAGGCUCUGCGCCGCCCUCUGAGUCCACCUCCAGGCCACAACACUGCCAGCGCUUCUGCAGCUUAGACUGGAAACACUAUGCUGCCUCCCGAAGCCGGGCCAGCUGUAAAUCAGUGAAGCAGCCCAGCUCCUCAAAGAUCCGGAGCUGGCCGACCCCAGACUGAUUCUCAACAGGUGGCUGGGUUACCAAACAGCUUGGACCUUUGAAUCAGAUCUCUGGAGUGAGCACUAAGAACUUGAGCCAUACAGAUCUCAGGGCCUGGCCUUUUCACUCCGCCACGAAGGCUGCUUGAGGGAGGGGAAGAGGUGGCUUCACUCAGCGCCAAAGCACAGAAAAAGGCUGACAGUUAGACUAAUAUUCAUCCUUUAAGAAUAUACUACCUGAAGUUAGUCGCAAGUCAUCUUCAAUCACGGAAAGGAAAAAAAAAACAAAAAAACAAAAAAACCAAACACCUCACAUCUGGAAGAUUCUCUGAAGCCACUUCCAACAGCACCAGAACGAGUGCACUCAGGCCCUGCUCUGUGCACGCCCCAGUGUCUGCUGUCUCGCGGGCAGGUGAAAAUACUGGCUGCCAAGGCCAGAGGAGAGAAGACAGUGGAGGAUUACUUACCGCUAGAGUUGUUUGGAAACUUGUGAUAACUGUUUUCAAUACUCUGCCUCUGCUAUCCAGGUCCUAGGUCCCUCUAGGGACCCUGAAAAGUGGCUUUGCCCCAGGGUGCCUAGAGGGAGACAGUGAUUCGAACUCUGGCUCUCUCCUACUGGGAGCUUAAAGUUGGGGUGAAGGCUUAAGGAGGAGACGAGGGGGCGGGCCCUGCUAGUUUGCAGUGGUAAGCGCAUCUGUGCCUAGGUCGCCAAAAGGUUCCCUGAGGUUAACUAUGGAGCCUCGGCUCUCUCCUGAGACCCAGGGCAACACAGAUGAUGGUGGUCGGUAUGUCAGUCUAAAUGUCACAAGACUUCACUGGUCUCUUAUUUUGGCUGUUUGUAGCUACUCUCUGCCAGGGAGGUUCUAGAAGCUAUUCACACCCGUCCUGAAUCUAUCCUGUGAGGUGGCAGAGGGUAGCUUGUUUUUGUAAAGGUUAGCAUAAUACUUAGUAGGAAGAAUACACUAGAGGAAGGUGUGAAAAAAGCCUAGGACUCUCAAACUUACCAACCUUACAGCCCACCCAAAGCCCAGAACCUCCCCUUGCACACCUCCUCUCCCCAAGACAGAUCCAUCUGGUGUUCACGGAAGGUAUUCACACUGCAAGUGUCUGGGAACACACUUAGGAAAAUUAUAGGAACUGGAGGAAUAAAGUACUUUAUUCCUCAGUACUGGAGGAAUAAAGAUAUGUCCAAGGAAUGGAUCGAAUGCAUGGACACUCACCCUGUCGUCCAGGAUGCAGACAAAAACUACUUUGUCCACAUGGGUACUUUCUACAAGAUAUCCAGUGACCCUGGAGAAAGAAACUUCGUUGAAUCUUCUGUAUGGAAUGUUUCAGGCCACGUUCUGAAGAAAGGGCCAAGGAAUCCUCUAUCCCAGAGGCUCCCUUUGGGUUCUCCUACCUGCUCUGUUGGAGACACCCAGAAGAGGGCAAUACAGGAAGGUUCCUUUUUGCUUCAGUUAUUUCUGUUGGUUGUCUUUUUCACCCUUUGCCUGGGAAAUUGUGCUCUGGAAUAGGGCUUGAGUAAACAGCACAGAUGGCCUCCACUACAUGACAAGAGAUUCUCAAUUUCCAGAUAAGGGAAAGCCCUGUUUUGUCCCCUUUUCUCCUCUGUGGUCUGAAAAAACAAAAAACAAAAAACAACCCUAUAGCCCAACCCCGUGUACAUCAAACAAACCCACAAGGAAUAUGCUAGACCAAGAUAGUUAUAUAUUUUACUAAUUUUCUUUUGUGAGAUAGUGAGAAGUCUUCAACUUCCUCUAUUCCAGGCAGGGAUUGAGGCCCUAGCCUGAAAGAGACCUCACCAACCGGGUUUCCACAGUGAUUCUGGGGCUCGGCUUAAGGUUGCUUUUCUCUCACCCCCGAAUGGGGAGUCACCUGCUGAUGCACGUCAGGAGAGCCUGAAGAAGUGAGGUGAACACAGACACAGCACCCUCAGAGCCAACUGUGACUUCGGUUGCUUCUAGCUAGGAUUCGGAACAGGAAGGAACCGGUUGUCUUUGAACACCCUCUACUUCUCAUCAACGCUCCAGAGAUGGGUCCUCACCUCCCAAGGUGCCUUCACUCCCAGAGGGCCCGGGCUCUCUGCCACAGCCCAACACUGGGCUUGCGCUCAGAGAGAAGGAAUAAGUGCUCUGAGGUUUGAACUCUGAAGUAUAAACUUACUCUGGCUGUGGUGGCAUAGACUUGUGGUACGUCAGCAGUCCACGGUCAGCCUUGUCUACAUAGCAAGUUUAAGGCCAGUCUGGACUACAUGAGACCAUGUCUGAAAAAAAGAAAAGCCCCAAGUGGAAAACGGAAAGCAGAAAAGAGAAUAUUCCUAGUGCGACAAGAAAUGUUCACCUCUCUCGAUGAUUUCUCUGCAGAAUGUGUUUAUAUGCUACGUCCACAGACCUGAUCACUUGUGCUGUUGCUAAAAAUAAAGAAGAAGAAGG